CAAAUAUAAUAAAUAAAAUAUACAAGAAAAGAAUAACCCAACGCAACAGAACACAACGCAACACACUGUCACUCACACAGAUCCAAUCCCACCUCUCAAAACUCUUUCGUUCCACCGAAAUCCGCGUCGAAUUCCGGGCAUGAGUGCCAACAAGCCACCGCAGUUAUCGCCGCCGUCGCACACUCUAUGCUCCCUCCGGACUUCGCUCCUUUCUUUAGCCAUUUUGACUCUUCUUUCCUUCACUUAUCUUUCUCUCAAAUCCUUACAUUCCCCUCCUUCUAUGUCUUCUCUGAACACUUCCUCUAUUCCUCUCUUCGUCAGUCAGCACGACUCUCUCUUCCACCCCAAUGUUUUCCACUCUCCCAAUAUCUUCCAUCUUAAUUACUUGGAGAUGGAGCAGAAAUUCAAGAUCUAUAUCUACCCUGAUGGUGAUCCCAACACCUUUUAUCAGACCCCCAGGAAAUUGACCGGUAAAUAUGCCAGUGAAGGCUAUUUCUUUCAGAAUAUUCGAGAAAGUUCUUUCUUAACUCCUGAUCCCGAUCAAGCCCAUUUGUUCUUCAUCCCCAUUUCCUGCCAUAAAAUGCGCGGCAAGGGAACAUCUUAUGAGAAUAUGACAAUAAUCGUUAAGGACUAUGUGGACAGUUUGAUAAGCAAGUAUCCUUAUUGGAAUCGUACACUGGGUGCUGAUCACUUCUUUGUAACUUGUCAUGAUGUGGGUGUAAGGGCGACUGAGGGGGUUCCUUUUCUUGUUAAGAAUGCGAUUCGAGUUGUGUGUUCUCCUAGUUAUGAUGUUUCCUUCAUUCCACACAAAGAUGUUGCUCUACCACAAGUCCUGCAGCCAUUUGCUCUUCCCCGAGGAGGAAACGAUAUAGAAAAUAGGAAAACUCUUGGUUUUUGGGCCGGUCAUCGAAACUCUAAAAUUAGAGUUAUCUUGGCUCAUGUAUGGGAGAAUGACACAGAACUUUACAUUUUAAACAACAGAAUAAAUAGGGCUACUGAACAACCUCUUGCAUAUCAGAAGAGGUUUUACAAAACUAAAUUCUGUAUAUGUCCUGGUGGCUCCCAGGUCAACAGUGCUCGUAUAGCUGACUCGAUCCAUUAUGGAUGUGUUCCUGUAAUAUUAUCAAACUAUUAUGACCUGCCAUUCAAUGACAUUCUGGAUUGGCGAAAAUUUGCUGUUAUAGUUAAAGAAAGCAAUGUCUACCAGCUCAAGCAAAUACUGAAGAAAAUAUCAGAUGAAGAGUUUGUUUCACUGCAUAACAACCUAGUUAAGGUCCAGCAUCACUUCCAAUGGAAUUCGCCUCCCAGCAAAUAUGAUACAUUCCAUAUGGUGAUGUAUGAACUAUGGUUACGCCACCAUGUUAUCAAGUAUUAAUUUGUGGAUAUAAUCCCGGUUCAAUUUUGUAUACGCUCAAUGUUGCUUGCCAGCAACUGAAAAACAGAAGAGGUACAUGCAAUUGCAUUAAUAUUUGGUUUGUGGGUGGGAGAAUAUGGAAUUUGAAAAUCAUUCUCAAGUCUAGUUUUAUUAGUCUUGUAAUCAUGAAUCCCAUCAAGUUUUGUGGUUACACAUUGGCUGCAAAGCGAGACCAAGAUCACAUAAAACUAAAGUAGGCACUACCACUAUUUCCCAACCCUUUUGUAUAUUUUCCUGUAUUAUACAUACAUUCCCACCUUGUUAUUUUAAUAAAUAACACUUUUUCACU